GGGGCAAACAGUAUCCGAGUAGGGCAAGACGAGAGGGGGAAUCUGAGAUACACAGGCCAAGAUCAGGACACGAGAAAACAGACAAGGCAAGACUAAGAUAAGGCUAUGGAAAAACUAGACAGGCUCCGUACAGUAGCUAUCGCUAUGAGAGUGAUAAAAGCUAUACAAUACUCGGCAUUUUAAAAGGGGAG